rnacentral:rRNA from 1 species
UACGUAGGGUGCAAGCAUUGUCCGGAUUUAUUGGGCGUAAAGAGCGUGUAGGCGGUUAGGUAGGUCCGUUGUGAAAACUCGAGGCUCAACCUCGAGACGCCGAUGGAAACCAUCUGACUAGAGUCCGGAAGAGGAGAGUGGAAUUCAUGGUGUAGCGGUGAAAUGCGCAGAUAUCAGGAAGAACACCCGUGGCUAAGGCGGCUCUCUAGUACGUGACUGACGCUGAGACGCGAAAGCGUGGGGAGCGAACAGG